AGACCUACCCUAACAACAUCUUGCAUCUCAAGGAAACAUAAGUCAACAUCGAGGUCGCAAUCCAUCCAUUUAAUAAGAACUCUCAAAAAAAAUUACGCUGUUAUCCCUUCGGUAACUUAUUCUUUUAAUCGCUAACCACGGAUCAAAAUUAAUAAGGAAGAUCUAUUCCUUGGUCGCCCCAACCAAACUAAAAAUUCCUAAAAAAUAAAAAUAUAGUAAAGCUCAAAAGGGUCUUCUUGUCCCCUUUAAAAAUUUUAGCUUCUUCACUAAAAAAGAAAAUUCCUAUAAUCUAAAAAAUAAAGCUAAGCCUUUGUUGAUUCAUUCAUUCUAGCCCCCAAUUACGAAGCAAGUGAUUAUGCUACCUUUGCACGGUCAAAGUACCGCG
rnacentral:rRNA from 1 species